AGUGAACGCUGGCGGUAGGCCUAACACAUGCAAGUAGAACGGCAGCACAGUAAGAGCUUGCUCUUACGGGUGGCGAGUGGCGGACGGGUGAGGAAUACAUCGGAAUCUACUUUUUCGUGGGGGAUAACGUAGGGAAACUUACGCUAAUACCGCAUACGACCUACGGGUGAAAGCAGGGGAUCUUCGGACCUUGCGGGAUUGAAUGAGCCGAUGUCGGAUUAGCUAGUUGGCGGGGUAAAGGCCAACCAAGGCGACGAUCCGUAGCUGGUCUGAGAGGGUGGUGAGCCACACUGGAACUGAGACACGGUCCAGACUCCUACGGGAGGCAGCAGUGGGGAAUAUUGGACAAUGGGCGCAAGCCUGAUCCAGCCAGACCGCGUGGGUGAAGAAGGCCUUCGGGUUGUAAAGCCCUUUUGUUGGGAAAGAAAAGCAGCAGGUUAAUACCCCGCUGUUCUGACGGUACCCAAAGAAUAAGCACCGGCUAACUUCGUG
rnacentral:rRNA from 1 species